rnacentral:ncRNA from 1 species
UAGUAGCAAAUAUUCAAGUGAAAUCCUUGAAGACUGAAGUGGGUGGAGAAGGUUCCAUGCGAGAGAGCAUUUAAAUAUGGGUCAGUUGAUCCUAAGAUAUCCGCUGCGGAUUACUGAGAACAGGAGUUCAAAUCCAUCUCUUGGCAAUCGAGAGAGAAAUGGGCUAAUAUCCCCGUACCUGGACAUAGAGAUAAAUGCUCAUUUUGGGUGUUUCGCAUGGUAACACGGUACUGCGAAGCUAAAAUACGCUGUUUGUU